rnacentral:ncRNA from 2 species
UAAAGUAAAUAAUCAGCAGGUGCCCCCUUGAUGGGGGAGAAUAGGGAACCGGGUGUAAUUCCCGGGCGGUCCCGCCACUGUAACCGGGUAGCCUGCGCCACAAGGCCACUGAUGAUACCAUCGGGAAGGCGGCGAUUGAGGUGUUGAUCCGGAAGCCAGGAGACCUGCCUGCUGUGCGGUAGACUC